AUGUUCCUCUCCCCCGGCGGCGCCUUCAUCACCAAGUUCUUUAGGUGUCAAGAUUACCAUGCUGUCAUGUUCUGUCUCAAGCAGCUAUUUGAAAGAGUUGAGUUCACUAGACCUUCAGCAAGUCGGCGCAGACCAGCUGAAAUUUACCUCGUCUGUCUGAAAUAUAAAUCCCCUGCAAAGAUUCAGCCAGAACUUCUUGAUUUGAAGCACUUGCACUUGUUGAGUGUGGAUGCAGAGAAGAGCAAGCCGAAGAGACGGGCUGGAGGUCGGUGGGUAUUCCUUCUGCUAAUCCAGAUUCUACUUAAUUGGUGUUGUCAAGGCAUCCGCGCAUCACCGCAAAAUGCUAUGGAUGCGCCAAUGCUAAGCGUUAUACUAGGUUUGAAUGUGUGCUGUGAUUUCAUUUGCUAG
rnacentral:rRNA from 1 species